AUCUAAUCAUUUGCAAAAAUAGCUUAUUAGUAUAUAAGAGGGAAGAAUCGUUCACAUGUUUCUGACAUUUUGAUAACAGGAAUUGAGAUUCUGGAGUACAGAAAGAGAACAAUGGUGUGAAAGCACAAUCCACACUAUUACAACUAUUUCUGAGGGGAGCACCAGGCUUUACCUCAGAAAAGGAGCCAGGAUUUACACUGUAUAUGUAUGUAUAUUACAUGAGGUACCUAAAAUAGUCAAGUUCAAAGAGCCAGAAGGUGGAAUAGUGGUUGCCAGAAAUAGCGAGCAGGGUGAAUGGAGAAUUAUUGUUUAAUAGAGUUUGAGUUUGGGAAGAUGAAAAAAGUCCUGGAUAUGUACAGUGAUGAUGCUUGUACAACAGUGUGAAUGUACUUAACAUCACUGAAGUGUACCCUUACCAAUGGUUAAAAUGUUGUAUUUUAUUGUAUAUGCUUUACGAUAAUAAAGAAGUUUUUUUAAAUGGGGAAUGUGUGCUCCUGAGGGCAUACAAAAUGUUUCUAAGGGAUACACUGUACCAGAUGUAUUUAAGGGAAUACUAUAUUCAGUCCUCAACCUCUAGAUAUUCUCUUUUCUAGAACCAAUCUGCCUUGGAGCAUUCUUGUGAAAGAUGAGUCUACUUGCUGCCUCUAUCACCACAAUCACUCUGUUCCCAUAUUAGAGAAAUGACAUCUGUCACCCACCUUGAAUAUUGUCAUGGAGCAAAACCCAAAGGACACCAACCAAAGUAAAAUUCAAGAUAUUGGUGUGAUAAAAGCUCUGGUGAUUAAGAGCUUCCCAGGUGAUGCUGUUGGAGUGUUAGACUUGAGAGCAAUUUCUGUAAGGCUUCCGUCAGCUCUUUCAGAAGUGGUCUUGUGUGUGCAAGGUUCUUUUUACUGAGUGGUGGAAGAGAGAAUAAAACGCAGUCCUCGGGAACUAAUAUCCUUCA
rnacentral:lncRNA from 1 species